rnacentral:ncRNA from 1 species
GGCCCAUUAAUUGCUGACUUACCUCCCAUCCAGGGCGGUCAACGUCGACAGCCCACACAACCUCACGACAAAGGCGCCGU